rfam:Glossina fuscipes fuscipes, whole genome shotgun sequence.
GGGGCUAUAGCUCAACUGGUAGAGCAUCUGCUUUGCACGCAGAAGGCUGGCGGUUCAAUUCCGCCUAGCUCCA